rnacentral:rRNA from 1 species
GACAGAGGGGGGCAAGCGUUGCUCGGAAUUACUGGGCGUAAAGGGCGCGUAGGCGGGAGUGGCAAGUCGGUCGUGAAAUCCCUCGGCUCAACCGAGGAACGUCGAUCGAUACUGCUGUUCUUGAGGAUUGCAGAGGAGACUGGAAUUCUCGGUGUAGCGGUGAAAUGCGUAGAUAUCGAGAGGAACACCUGCGGCGAAGGCGGGUUGCUGGGCUGACACUGACGCUGGAUGCGGCGAAAGCUAGGGGAGCGAAACGGG